rnacentral:misc_RNA from 1 species
UUUUUUACGAACAAUUUUACGUGUGCAAUAUAACCUUAUUAAUCACCGUUGACGUUAUCUGCCUAAAUCAUCGUUAUGUAGUAUACGACGUGAAACACGAAAAUAAGCAAUGAAAAUUUUACUCGCUAAAUGGAUUUCCGACAGUUUUAUUCACAGUAUAUCGCCAGAAAUUACUUGUGAAAACAGUCUAACCUUAACCUACUCUAAAAGUAUAUCGCUUCUGACUUUGUGAAUUAUAAUGGUGCAAGAAAUAAUCAGCGGAUGAUGAGUGAAUCUGAUGACACCGACGUCCUUUUACUGAUUCCCCCUGAUUUAUUCCUCGUCCCAUCAUCCGAAGACUCUGACGAUUCGGAGUUUCCAAAAGAAAGGUUGGGUUACCGCCUUCAAGGAGGAAGACCUUCCACUAGCGUGGUCACGGAAUUAUUUGACCAGGUUCAAUCACUCGAGAAUAGAAUAUCUGUGAUUGAAUCAAAAGAUACAAGUUUAGAUACAUCAUUCCUGAAUAAUUCUAGUGAUACGCAAUUUAGGACUACAAACUUCUCAUCCCCAUUAAGAGCUAACCAAGUGUCGGUUAGAAAUAAUUUCGGUUCAGUAAGUCAUAUUUCGAACUUAGAAAACACCCCUGCAAAACCUCGCAAAUAUUCAUCAGCUCCAACAACCCCCAGCAAUUACCACCUGCGAAGUCAUACUAAUCAAAACUGCUGUGAUAUGAAGUCGUUGCAGUUUGCUGCUUUGAACAGUCAUACUAACGCUUACAAAUAUAGUAACACUAACUUGCAAUCUCGAACCAAACAUAAUGAUUCAAUGUCAUACUCCGAACCAUCAAUCAUUCAUCACAGUUCCAGUUCUGAUAUAAGAAACAUGGGUAUCCCGCAUGCAUCAUCUGCCAUCUCCUGUAAAAAGGAAACAUGUAUUGACAAUAACGAAAUGAACAAAAGCAAUUUACAGAACAAACCGUCCGAACGUAUAUCUUUCUCAUUGCCCUUAGCAAAUUCAAAUCUGAAACCAACAGGUAAACGAUUUGAGCAACGAUCCGUCAAAGAGAUGGAACUUUCAGAGGUAGAUGAACUCUUACAUGAAAUGGAGAUAACAGAGGCUGAAUUAGCAAAAAGGAUUAAAAAUGGAAGUUCCUAUCAAUCACACCGGGGAAACGCUCAUCAAUUGAAUUUUCACACUGAAGAUGAGAAAGAAUUGAGAGAAGUGAACGCACUGCACAGUGACUUAUCUCCAGUAUGUCGAUUGGACUUCGAUUUUCAUAAUGAAGAUUUGUAUGAUUUACCAAAUAUCUCAUCCGAUGUGAAACAGCGUUCGACCGCUGAUAAAUACCUAGAAUUUUCACUACCAUUUGAUGAGGAUUCUCUGCAUCUGGAUGUAACAGAUAAAAUAAUUUCUGAAUUCAAAACAUGGCGUCAAAACUGUGGUCAGACACAGAAGGAUGAUCAGGGUAAUGAUGAUGGUAAAAAUGGCAAAACAUUACACGAAGAGAGCAAAAAACACGCCCAUGUACAAUCAAAUCCUUCAUCAAAUAUAAACACAAUUGAUAGAAAUCCAGCAGCCAUUCAAACUGGGCCAUCUAGAAUAAUUGUGAACAGUGACAAUCCUCAUUCGCAUGAGUCAUCUAGUCACGCUGAUCCAAAUUCUACCCCCAUGUUGCAUACCAAUUUUUUAAAAGCUCACAUACCUAUAAAUUUUACGCAAUUAGAGUCUAAUGCAACGCAACUUGCGGAAGUACCCAGACACUCAUAUAGCACCAGUAAUUUGUUAGGCUGCACGAGUAAUAAUAUUCACGACAUUCCGAAUCACGGAGUAUCAAAUAAGAUCACUAAUGAUGCAGCCACAAACACAGAAAGCUUGAGGAAAUCACAUCGACUUUUAACACUAUCUGACUUUUGGGAAACGGAUCCUACCAAAUCACAAGAGGAUAUGCUCAGAAUAAAAUUGGAGGAAGAGAAAUUUAGGAGAGAUCAUUGUGAACACUUGAUUCAAGAACUUCAGAAAAGGUUGCUAGAACAACAAGAAAAAGUAGCAGUAGCUGUAAGGGUAGAUAAUGAGAAAAACGUUAUAAUAACAAAGUUUCAAAAUGCUUGGACAAAAUUGAAAUUACGGUGGCAAAUAUUGGAGGCAGAAUCAAACGACUUACAUUUGACUUUGAAAAAUAUGAAAGAUAAACAUCAAAUGGAAUAUACCGAGCUUCAGACGCAGAUAAAACGUUGUGAAGGGGAAUUAUCAAAGGCUCUGGAUCUAGCUGCUGGGUACAAAGAAAAAAGUGAUACAAUGACUAAAGAAAAUCUGGAAUUAUUGAAGAGCCAUGCCGAUGAAUUAGAGAAUUAUAAGGCUUUGGUUCAAGAAGCUGAGAACCGAUACAGUCAGCUAAAAGUUGAAUACGAUAAAUUGUCCGAUCAGAGUCAACAACUUGGAGAAGCACUAAAAAAUACUCAACAAGAAGUCAACAGAGAGAGGCUCAGGGGUGGAGAAGUGAGAGGAGAAAUGGGGGUUAUUCACAAAGCACUUGAUGCUUGUGAAGCUGAGCUCAUUGUUCUCCGCCAAGAAAAAGAAAAUCUUCAGUUGAAACUUAAGGAAGAAAUAAGUAGAAAUCAUAUAUUGGAACAAAAUAAAUCAACGCUACUUACGGCGAUCGAAGAGGCAAAGUGCGCAGAGAGAAAGGCUAAUGAGGAAAGCAAGUCUUUUGCUGCCCAGGAAGAAAAAACACGAAAAGAAUUGCGUGAUGUUUACCAGAAACAAGUUGAUGAAGUAGUCAAGGCCAAAUUGCAAGAAUUUCAAUCACAACUUGACACGGCUGAAUCCACUUUUCAAAGUGAAUUAGAGAGCAGACAGCGAGCAAUCGCCGAGUGUGCAGCUCGGAAAAUCAAAACUGUUCUGGAUAAGCAUCAGCUGGAGAUUAACUUGUUAGAAGAAAAACACAAGGAAGAGAAAAGAUUACACCAAAUUCAAUUAGCCCAAGCCAUGCAGCAAAUCUCGAUAUUAGAUUCCAAGUUAAACACGCAACACACCAACAAGACUCAGCUAGCGGAACAGUUGCAUUCAGUUAUGCAAAGACAGUGGCAGCAGGCAUUACAAAUUAUAUCAGGAGGUAACAUGGAUAAUCUUACACCUAUACAACGCAUUCACGCUGAGAAAUUCUUUGAAUCUAGACAUUCUAUGAAGUCCGAAUCUAGUCCUAAUAUUGGGUGUAAUGUUAUGGAGCCAAUACGUUUAGAGUCCCAUUCAAUGCCUCUAAUCGAGAUGAAGAAUUUUCCUUCCAACUUGACUCGAGCACCAGAGGAAAAAGAUAGAAAUUCAAUGUUGACGAAUCCAGGAGAGGGUACUCCUUUAACAAGUCACAGAGACCAAUCUAAAGAUGAUCUCCGUAGAUAUAUUAAAAUGAUACUAGAUAUGCAACAGCCGAAGUCAAACUUCGUACAACCCCCAUACACGGAAUCGAGUCAAAGUCCAGUUCCAAUUUGUAGAGAAGUACCAAGGAAACACUACAUGCGGAAAGAGGAGAGUUUUAUGAGUGAAGAUAGCAGUGUGAUUUGGCAACCAAGCUCAGAGGCAAGUCAUUCGAAGCAAUAGCUAUGCAUAGCGCUGCAUUUUUUCUAUUUUUUGCAACACCAUACCACAGAAUAAGGACUGAAUGUCUCUCCUCAAGAUGUGACAGAGUAUAUUUCAGUUCCUCAAAAACUUCCGGUAAAAUCGGAUCAACAGAAGAAUAAGCCACCAUGGAA